rnacentral:rRNA from 1 species
UACGAAGGGUGCAAACGUUGCUCGGAAUUAUUGGGCGUAAAGCGCACGUAGGCGGCUUAGCAAGUCGGAAGUGAAAUCCCUCGGCUCAACCAAGGAAGUGCUUUCGAAACUGCUGAGCUUGAGUACUUAAGAGGAUCGCGGAAUUCCCGGUGUAGAGGUGAAAUUCGUAGAUAUCGGGAGGAACACCAGUGGCGAAGGCGGCUUGCUGGGCCGGACCUGACGCUGAGACGCGAAGGCGUGGGGAGCGAACGGG